GCCAGACUCCUACGGGAGGCAGCAGUGGGGGAUAUUGCACAAUGGGGGGAACCCUGAUGCAGCGACGCCGCGUGGGUGAAGAAGUAUUUCGGUAUGUAAAGCCCUAUCGGCAGGGAAGAAUUUAGACGGUACCUGACUAAGAAGCCCCGGCUAACUACGUGCCAGCAGCCGCGGGAAUACGUAGGGGGCAAGCGUUAUCCGGAUUUACUGGGUGUAAAGGGAGCGUAGGCGGGGAUGCAAGUUGGGUGUCAAAACUACCGGCUCAACUGGUAGUCGCACUCAAAACUGCAGCUCUUGAGUGAAGUAGAGGCAGGCGGAAUUCCUAGUGUAGCGGUGAAAUGCGUAGAUAUUAGGAGGAACACCAGUGGCGAAGGCGGCCUGCUGGGCUUUUACUGACGCUGAGGCUCGAAAGUGUGGGGAGCAAACAGGAUUAGAUACCCCCGUAGCG
rnacentral:rRNA from 1 species